CCAGCAGCCGCGGUAAUACGUAGGUGGCAAGCGUUGUCCGGAUUUACUGGGCGUAAAGCGUGCGCAGGCGGACGGGUAAGUAGGAAGUGAAAGGUUGGAGCUCAACUCCAACACUGCUCCCUAUACUGCCUGUCUUGAAUGUCGGAGAGGAAGAGGGAACGACACGUGUAGCGGUGAAAUGCGUUGAGAUGUGUCGGAACACCAAUGGCGAAAGCACUCUUCUGGACGAAUAUUGACGCUCAUGCACGAAAGCUAAGGUAGCAAACAGGAUUAGAUACCCUGGUAGUCUUAGCCAUAAACGAUGUUCACUAGGUGUUGGGGCGUAAGCCUCGGUGCCGCAGCUAACGCAUUAAGUGAACCGCCUGGGGACUACGGCCGCAAGGUUGAAACUCAAAGGAAUUGGCGGGGGCCCGCACAAGCGGUGGAGCAUGUGGCUUAAUUCGAUGCAACGCGAAGAACCUUACCAGGGCUUGACAUGGAUCUGCAAGGUGGUGAAAGCCACUCGCUUUCGAAGGUGAUUCACAGGUGGUGCAUGGCUGUCGUCAGCUCGUGUUGUGAAAUGUUGGGUUAAGUCCCGCAACGAGCGCAACCCUCAUGUUCUGUUGCCAGCGAGUAAUGUCGGGAACUCGGAACAAACUGCCUCUGUAAAGAGGAGGAAGGUGGGGAUGACGUCAAGUCAUCAUGCCCCUUACGCCCUGGCUGCACACAUGCUACAAUGGCCGGUACAAAGGGUCGCUAACUCGCGAGAGUAUGCUAAUCCCAAAAAGCCGGUCUCAGUUCGGAUUGGAGUCUGCAACUCGACUCCAUGAAGUCGGAAUCGCUAGUAAACGCCGGUCAGCAAUACGGCGUUGAAUACGUUCCCGGGCCUUGCACACACCGCCCGUCACGUGACGAAAGUUGGUCUUACCCGAAACCGGCGCGCUAACCGCAAGGAAGCAACCGUCUAAGGUAGGGCCGAUGAUUGGCGCGAAGUCGUAACAAGGUAACCAA
rnacentral:rRNA from 1 species